AUUGAAACUCCCUUAUACCAGGCUAUGACUACCACUGGUGCCAUCCACUUCUGACAAGGAAUUCUGAACAAGGUUAGCUGUGAACAAAAAGAGAAGAAUGAUAUGGAAGGCAGGGAGAGCAGAUGUAAUCAGAGGAUUAGGCUUCUGGCCCCGAGGCCAUUCCAUAACAUCUACAGAACGGCAGGAACACUGGUCAAAGAACUGGAUCCUGGAGGAAAACAAAUUACGUCUGAAUUUCUAAUGGCUAACCUUACAAUUCUGAAACCGAUGAUGGAAUGAAGCGAUGAGUAUGAUGAUCACUACCAUGGGAAACUUUCAGCUGCCACCGAUGUGGAAUGUACAUGAAAUGGAACAUAAGCACUAUUUGCCAAUUUUUCACAUAGAAGCUUGAAGUAGUGCUUCCCUGGUGGCGCAGUGGUUAACAAUCUGCCUGCCAAUGCAGGGGACACGGGUUCGAGCCCUGGUCCUGGAAGAUCCCACAUGCCGCGGAGCAACUAAGCCCAUGCACCACAACUACUGAGCCCGCGCUCUAGAGCCCGCAUGCCACAACUACCAAGCCUGCGUACCACAACUGCUGAAGUCCGUGCGCCUAGAGCCCGUGCUCCACAACAAGAAAAGCCACCACAGUGAGAAGCCCGUGCACCACAGUGAAGAGUAGCCCCCCUCGCUGCAACUAGAGAAAGCCCGCACGUAGCAACAAAGACCCAACGCGGUCAAAAAUAAAUAAAAAAUAAUCAAUAAAAAAAAAAGAAACUUGAAGUAAUAAAUGCAUCUUCU